AUUCACAGGUCCUGUAAGGUCAACGGUUGGUAUAGCCUGGAUAACUUAAAGACCAAUACAUUAUAAGGAUGAGCGUUCACAUCUUAUGACGAGAUCCAACACGUGCCAUUAUAUUCAUACUCUUAUCUUCAACAGACACACACUGCGAGGGAGAGAGUGAUAAUGGAUCCCCCUGCUGUACAAUCCAUUGAUGUUUCCAGCACCAAGAAGAGCGUGGAUGAGAAGUGCUUCGAUAACAGGUGCAUCAAUGACUGUUGCACUGUCUGCUUAGACGCUACUGUGGGUUGCUUUGUUGGCCUCUGCGCUGCGUUAUGUUGUAGUGACAACUGUUGUUAAUUAGUAUAGUUCUUGGUUAAGGUAUCGAAUUUCAGUUAUUGCCACUAUUAUUUGUUGUUAGCAGAGUAAGAUGACAGUAUGUUAAUGUGAAAAUGGGUAUAGAUUGUAUAGAUGAACCCUUCCCCCAACCGCACACCAUUGUAUAUUGGGGGUACCGGUGGAACUUCUUGUAUGAUGAGAAUUUUGGAUCAAUGAAGAAAAAGUUGAGUUCUCCACCGGUUGAUUUGGAAGUUUGUAUAACCACAUUUUCCUCUUUUCUCUAUCUUCUAAGUUCUAACGAUUUCAUUCCUUCCAAGAUGUAAAAGCCUAUAUUAACUUUUGUA